rnacentral:misc_RNA from 1 species
UGAAGCCGAAAAUGCUGUCACUUUACUUCGAAAUAAAUGAAAAAAUAUAUUAAAAAUAGUUUCGUAUGAGAAUUCCAGAAAAUUCAAACAAAAUUGUUAGUUGACCAGGUAGAGUAGUUCUUUGAAAGCCUCAAGCUGCAGCAGCCAGCGCCUCCAGACACUUCGUGUUCUUCCGCUGUCGCAGUUUCUCAAACAUCGACUUCAGUUUCGAUACCACCAGCACCGCCUCCGCCGCCUCCACCGCCGUCAUUGCUGCCAAGAGCCCGAACAACGCCAUUCGGCGCUCUGUCAUCGCUACCAUCUACGUCAACAUAUCCACCACCAAGACUACGGACGAACGGCAUGCAGGGACUAUCGGAGGCGACGGCCAUACGUUUAUUCAACAGUGUUGUGACAACGGAACAAAUAGCUGGCCCGACAACUGCGCUUAAUGUCAAUUCCAUAACGUCGAUCAAUGCGGUAGACGAGUGCAAAUCGAUCACAACCAUACAGUCUACGAAUGAGUUCGGCAAUGCUUGUCGCAUUUGCCGUUGCAAUCGGAGUGACAUGCAAUUGUCGCGUUGUCCGUGCCAGUGUCGUGGCAGUGUGGGGUUCGUGCACAUGCCGUGCUUGAAGCGUUGGAUUUUGCAUCGGCGUGACACGCGCUGUGAAAUAUGCAACACACCGUUCGAUGUGCCAGAUGAGAAGUUAAACGUGCGUCGCAUGCUGAACGCGCUAUUCUGUGCGCGUUGUGGCGGCGCCAUCAUAAAGCACCUGCUCUUUAGCGUGUCCCUGCUGCCGCUGGCGCAUGUCGUUCUGCAGCAAGUACUCAUUUGCAUGGACAAUAUUAAUGCGAGCCCCAACGAGCAUUUGACGGUGCAAGAAGUGAUGGUGGCUUCAUGCGCGCUCUUGACAUCAAGCGCACUUUUCUUCCACUUCUUCGAGUUUAUAACGACGCGCUUUCUAAUUAUUCGGAACAUUUUGCAUCAGUGGUGGAUGUUUGGCAAUCAGGAGAAUUUCACAAUCAUCGAGGUGGACAGUGAAUAUUUCGAUGUCUUCUAAGUUGUCACCAACGCAAUCGAAUUGUUUGACGGGCCAAAAAUUUUAAAAUAUCCAAUGUAUUAGAAACAAUUUAUAUACGAAAUUAGAAAGGCUUGAAAUCUGAGCAUUGUAAAAUGAACUGAAAAAUACUUUGAGAGAAAAUUGAAUGCUCAACAUGAACAGACAUAAUAAUAAAUAAUAAAACAAUUUAAUCACGAUCCCGUGGAAUAUAAGAUAAAGCGUGAAAUAACAAAACGCAAUUGAAAUCAAUUUAUCAGAAAAAAAAGAAGUAACAUUUUGAAGUGACCGGUUGAUGUAUUUGUCUCGAAUCUCUAUUAGGUUAUUGUACCGAUAUACCUAUAAAGAAUGUCAUGCCGCCACCAUUCACAAUGAAGCCAUAAUGCAAUUGUGGCACCAAAAGACGAACUCAUCAACGAAGUAUUCCCAAACAUUAUUACUAACCACAAAAAUAAUGAAUAGUUGAGAGAGCGAGCAAUCUUGACGGCUAAGAAUAACGAUUUAUUUGAUUUAUACUUACAUAAUUCAGAAUGAGAUCAUUGGUACACUGCAUUCUUUCAAAUCAAUUGACCGUUUAAGAAAUGAAGAUGAAGCUGCUACCUAUCCAAUUAAUGUGCCAGGCUUACCACCACACAAUUUACGACUAAGUAAAUAAACAAAUUACCUUGAUAAAACUAAAA